GGACAUUAUGGUCAAAUACGAUGGGACGGUUAGAAAUUCAUUGGGGGAUGUUAUUCAGUUCCUUUAUGGAGAGGAUGGUAUGGAUGCUGUUUGGAUUGAGUCGCAGAAAUUGGAUUCUUUGAAGACGAAAAAGAAAGAGUUCUAUAACAUGUAUAGGUAUGAACUUGAUGAUCCUAACUGGAAACCAAACUACAUGCAACCAGAGCAUGUAGACGAUUUGAGAAACAUUACUGAGUUCAAGAGUGUGUUUGAUGCUGAGGUUAAUAAAUUAGAAGCAGACCGUUACCAGCUUGGCACAGAGAUCGCGACUACUGGCGAUAAUUCGUGGCCUAUGCCUGUAAAUC
rnacentral:misc_RNA from 1 species